GACGAACGCUGGCGGCGUGCUUAACACAUGCAAGUCGAGCGGUAAGGCCCUUUCGGGGGUACGACGAGCGGCGAACGGGUGGAGUAACACGUGGGUGGACCUCGCCCUCCAGCUCUGGGAGUAAGACCUGGGAAACGUAGGGUCGUAAUAACUGGAUAUGACUCCACGGUGCAUGUCGUGGGGUGGAAAGCCUUGUGCGGCUGAGGAUGGGCCCGGCGGCCUAUUAGCUUGUUGGUGGGGUGAUGGCCUACCAAGGCGACGACGGGUAGCCGGCCUGAGAGGGCGACCGGCCACACUGGGACUGAGACACGGCCCAGACUCCUACGGGAGGCAGCAGUGGGGAAUCUUGCGCAAUGGGCGAAAGCCUGACGCAGCGACGCCGCGUGAGGGAUGACGGCCUU
rnacentral:rRNA from 1 species